rnacentral:rRNA from 1 species
AUUGAACGCUGGCGGCAUGCUUUACACAUGCAAGUCGAACGGUAACAGCACUUCGGUGGCUGACGAGUGGCGAACGGGUGAGUAAUACAUCGGAACGUGCCUAGUAGUGGGGGAUAACUACUCGAAAGAGUAGCUAAUACCGCAUGAGAUCUAAGGAUGAAAGCAGGGGACCUUCGGGCCUUGCGCUACUAGAGCGGCUGGUGGCAGAUUAGGUAGUUGGUGGGAUAAAAGCUUACCAAGCCGACGAUCUGUAGCUGGUCUGAGAGGACGACCAGCCACACUGGGACUGAGACACGGCCCAGACUCCUACGGGAGGCAGCAGUGGGGAAUUUUGGACAAUGGGCGCAAGCCUGAUCCAGCAAUGCCGCGUGCAGGAUGAAGGCCUUCGGGUUGUAAACUGCUUUUGUACGGAACGAAAAGCCCUCUUCUAAUACAGGAGGGUCAUGACGGUACCGUAAGAAUAAGCACCGGCUAACUACGUG